CAGCAGCCACGGUAAUACGAACCGUGCGAACGUUAUUCGGAAUUACUGGGCUUAAAGCGCGUGUAGGCGGGCCGCCACGUCGGUUGCUGAAAUCCCCCGGCUCAACCGGGGAAGUGGCAUCGAUACGAGCGGCCUUGAGGGGGGUAGGGGGAUCUGGAACUUCCGGUGGAGCGGUGAAAUGCGUUGAGAUCGGAAGGAACGCCCGUGGCGAAAGCGAGGUCCUGGACCCUUUCUGACGCUGAGACGCGAAAGCCAGGGGAGCGAACGGGAUUAGAUACCCCAGUAGUCCCUGUCUCUUAUA
rnacentral:rRNA from 1 species